rnacentral:rRNA from 1 species
GGGGAAUCUUCCGCAAUGGGCGAAAGCCUGACGGAGCAACGCCGCGUGGGUGAAGAAGGCCUUCGGGUUGUAAAGCCCUGUCUUCAGGGAAGAAAAAAAUGACGGUACCUGAGGAGGAAGCCACGGCUAACUACGUGCCAGCAGCCGCGGUAAUACGUAGGUGGCAAGCGUUGUCCGGAAUCAUUGGGCGUAAAGGGCGCGUAGGCGGUUAAUUAAGUCAGAUGUGAAAACUCUGGGCUCAACCCGGAGAUUGCAUUUGAUACUGGUUAACUUGAGUGCAGGAGAGGACAGUGGAAUUCCUAGUGUAGCGGUGAAAUGCGUAGAUAUUAGGAGGAACACCAGUGGCGAAGGCGGCUGUCUGGACUGUAACUGACGCUGAGGCGCGAAAGCGUGGGGAGCAAAC